rnacentral:rRNA from 1 species
CUGUUAGACUGAGACACGAGACGAGCAUCUACGGAUGUGAAGUUGUUGAUGCCAUACUUCCAGGAAAAGCCUCUAAGCUUCAGAUUAUACCGAAUCGUACCCCAAACCGACACAGGUGGUCAGGUAGAGAAUACUAAGGCGCUUGAGAGAACUCGGGUGAAGGAACUAGGCAAAAUCGUACCGUAACUUCGGGAGAAGGUACGCUCCUAUCUGUGAUGAGAUUUACUCUCUAAGCGGACGGGAGCCGCAGUGACCAGGUGGCUGGGACUGUUUAUUAAAAACACAGCACUGUGCAAAAUCGCAAGAUGACGUAUACGGUGUGACACCUGCCCGGUGCCGGAAGGUUAAUUGAUGGGGUUAGACUUAGGUCGAAGCUCUUGAUCGAAGCCCCGGUAAACGGCGGCCGUAACUAUAACGGUCCUAAGGUAGCGAAAUUCCUUGUCGGGUAAGUUCCGACCUGCACGAAUGGUGUAACCAUGGCCACGCUGUCUCCACCCGAGACUCAGUGAAAUUGAAAUCGCAGUGAAGAUGCUGUGUACCCGCGGCUAGACGGAAAGACCCCGUGAACCUUUACUACAGCUUGGCACUGAACAUUGAACCUACAUGUGUAGGAUAGGUGGGAGACUUUGAAGCAGCGACGCUAGUUGUUGUGGAGUCGUCCUUGAAAUACCACCCUUGUAGUUUUGAUGUUCUAACGUUGGCCCCUGAAUCGGGGUUACGGACAGUGCCUGGUGGGUAGUUUGACUGGGGCGGUCUCCUCCCAAAGAGUAACGGAGGAGCACGAAGGUUGGCUAAGUACGGUCGGACAUCGUACGGUUAGUGUAAUGGUAGAAGCCAGCUUAACUGCGAGACAGACACGUCGAGCAGGUACGAAAGUAGGUCAUAGUGAUCCGGUGGUUCUGAAUGGAAGGGCCAUCGCUCAACGGAUAAAAGGUACUCCGGGGAUAACAGGCUGAUACCGCCCAAGAGUUCAUAUCGACGGCGGUGUUUGGCACCUCGAUGUCGGCUCAUCACAUCCUGGGGCUGAAGUCGGUCCCAAGGGUAUGGCUGUUCGCCAUUUAAAGUGGUACGCGAGCUGGGUUUAGAACGUCGUGAGACAGUUCGGUCCCUAUCUGCCGUGGGCGUUUGAGAAUUGAGAGGGGUUGCUCCUAGUACGAGAGGACCGGAGUGAACGAACCGCUGGUGUUCGGGUUGUCAUGCCAAUGGCAUUGCCCGGUAGCUACGUUCGGAACUGAUAAGCGCUGAAAGCAUCUAAGCGCGAAGCAGGCCUCGAGAUGAUUUCUCACUAGACUUUUAAAGUCUCUGAAGGGCCGUUGAAGACUACAACGUUGAUAGGCAGGAUGUGGAAGUGGUGUGAGCCAUUAAGCUAACCUGUACUAAUUACCCGUGAGGCUUAACCAU